AUUGAACGCUGGCGGCAGGCUUAACACAUGCAAGUCGAGCGGGCGAGGUUGCUUCGGUAACUGAGCUAGCGGCGGACGGGUGAGUAAAGCUUAGGAAUCUGCCUAUUAGUGGGGGACAACAUUCCGAAAGGGAUGCUAAUACCGCAUACGUCCUACGGGAGAAAGCAGGGGAUCACUUGUGACCUUGUGCUAAUAGAUGAGCCUAAGUCGGAUUAGCUAGUUGGUGGGGUAAAGGCCUACCAAGGCGACGAUCUGUAGCGGGUCUGAGAGGAUGAUCCGCCACACUGGGACUGAGACACGGCCCAGACUCCUACGGGAGGCAGCAGUGGGGAAUAUUGGACAAUGGGGGGAACCCUGAUCCAGCCAUGCCGCGUGUGUGAAGAAGGCCUUUUGGUUGUAAAGCACUUUAAGCGAGGAGGAGGCUACCUAGAUUAAUACUCUUGGAUAGUGGACGUUACUCGCAGAAUAAGCACCGGCUAACUCUGUGCCAGCCGCCGCCGUAA
rnacentral:rRNA from 1 species